GUUGAAACACCAGUUUCUGUACGAUCACCGAAGUUAAGCAACGUCGAGCCUGGUCAGUACCUCGAGAGUUAGCCACUUGGGAAUAGCAGAUACUGUAAG